rnacentral:rRNA from 1 species
GACGAACGCUGGCGGCGUGCUUAACACAUGCAAGUCGAGCGGUAAGGCCCUUUCGGGGGUACACGAGCGGCGAACGGUGAGUAACACGUGGGUGACCUGCCCUCAGCUCUGGGAUAAGCCUGGGAAACCGGGUCUAAUACUGGAUAUGACUCCAUGACGCAUGUUGUGGGGUGGAAAGCCUUGUGCGGCUGAGGAUGGGCCCGCGGCCUAUCAGCUUGUUGGUGGGGUAACGGCNCACCAAGGCUUCGACGGGUAGCUGGUCUGAGAGGACGAUCAGCCACACUGGCACUGCGACACGGGCCAGACUCCUACGGGAGGCAGCAGUAAGGAAUAUUGCGCAAUGGGCGAAAGCCUGACGCAGCGACGCCGCGUGGGGAUGAAGGUCUUCGGAUUGUAAACCCCUUUCGGGAGGGAAGAUGGAAUGGGGUAACCC